GGGUUUCUGACCUGUCGGUGGACUUGGAUCUGGGUGUCUGCCAUCUCGGCUCACCUCAAAGACGUUAGUGGGACAAGAUGCCUACGGCCAGACGCGAUAAGUUUCGUCAGACCCGGCUCCUUAUGCCUGCUCAUAACCCGCCCUCGGGCAACUACUUUAUGCUAGACCUCAAAUCAGGUAGGACUACCCGCUGAACUUAA
rnacentral:misc_RNA from 1 species